GAUUACUUGAAAUGCCGAUGAUACAAUAACAACUAACUUCUAUCUCCUGUACCAAUUAAUAAACUUCUUGAGCAUUUUCAUUUAAGUAAUGAUACCAUGAGGAAGACCGAUACUCAGGGAAUAAGGGAUACUAACAUAUAGAAGUUCUUGCAUUAAUUUUAUAUUUAUGAUGCCCUAAACUGGAAUAAAUACAUUUCAUUUGGAACGGUGUGGACCAGAGCCCUUCUAGCAGUGCUACUAAUAAUAUCAGCUUGAAAGGCACUAUUAUUAGAUGUCUGAUUCUAUAAGAGGAGUAUAUGGCUGCCAGUGAAGACACUGUAGAUAAAGGGGAUGGAAGAGCAGUAAAAAAGCUCGCGUCUACAAAGUCUCUGCGCCACUCGUUUGUGCGAUUCUGUAAUGCUUCAAAAGUGAUUGUUGAUGUCUUCUGGAUUAAUUAUGAAGGCAAGUCAGUACUGUACAAAAGGUUGCUUCCAUACAAGUGGAUGGAUGUGAACACAUUUGAAGGGCACCCAUGGAUCUUCCUGAACGCCCAAACUGGAGACAAAAUGGUGGUAGCCAAUAAUGAUGUAUACUUUCCUGCGUCCUCGGCACAGUCUGAGGAUGAUGAAAGGCUAAAAGUCAGGACUCUGGUCACCAUUACCCUUCCAUUGUAUUCGCUGCAGGAGUGUUGUGUACGUGCAGUUAGACAUUUAGUUGCAGAGGACAAGGUUAGACACCUUGAAAUCACAGACAUGCUUAAGACAGAGAUUCUGCACAGUGUUCAAAACUUGAAUAAGAAAAGCACUAUCACAAGCACAGCGCAGUGGGAAGAAUUGUUACAUUGACUGAGAUUUCAAAAUGGGUCUGUACCCAUCAAACUGGGAAUACCAUGCAUUAAGCAUUUAAUACUUGUGGCUUACAGGUAGAACAUGGGGUUUUAAUGGUGUAAGCACUGUACUUGAAGAACACGAAUAUUUAGUCCACUGAUAUUCUCAUUUAUAAUGUCAUUGGUGCCAGAAGAAUUGUAAAUUGUGUUACAGGGGCUAGUGCAAGAUACAGAUAUCCUGUUCCAUAGAAGACCAUGAGGCUCUCAAACGGCCUAGUACACCAUGUGCACUGUGCUUCUCUUAAACUCUUAUGUGAAAAACCAGUUACAUGUACAUGUGGCAGGUUAAGGUUGAGUCUGGCCUUGAAACAGCUCCCAUGUUUUGGUACCAGUGUAUAAACUGUUGAACACUAUUUACAUUGUUUUCACUGAUCAUGGUUAAGACUCACUCGUUUUGUUAGUCUCAAUAAAUGUUCCUUUUUUCUA